rnacentral:tRNA from 1 species
GGGAUUGUGGUUCAGUGGUAAAGCACUUGCCUUGUAUGCAUGAGGCCCUGGGUUUGAUCCUCAGCACCA